AAUCCCCCUUUUGAACAGUGAAUAAGAAGACUAUUUAUAAGGGUAAACCGGAAAGGAAAAAAGGGUCUGGAUCGAUGUGGGAGAAUCCCAAAUUCAAAAGCUAUCAUCGUACCAAUUGCCAAAAAAAAUGAAGAGGACCGCUUGAUUAAAAGAGCAAAGGACGAAGGAGGAAUUGUGAUGCAAACACCUGGAUUUUCUCCAAUGGUCUGGUACGACUACGAAUGGAUUAGGACAGACGCGAAGCCACACACGUGAUUUGGAUGCUCAUGAUUGUAGCGUUUCUGAG
rnacentral:misc_RNA from 1 species